rnacentral:piRNA from 1 species
CUAUUCUGAUGAGAUUGAGUACAUCAUC